rnacentral:rRNA from 1 species
UACGAAGGGGGCUAGCGUUGCUCGGAAUCACUGGGCGUAAAGGGUGCGUAGGCGGAUCGAUCAGUCAGGGGUGAAAUCCCAGAGCUCAACUCUGGAACUGCCUUUGAUACUGUCGAUCUGGAGUAUGGAAGAGGUGAGUGGAAUUCCGAGUGUAGAGGUGAAAUUCGUAGAUAUUCGGAGGAACACCAGUGGCGAAGGCGGCUCACUGGUCCAUUACUGACGCUGAGGUGCGAAAGCGUGGGGAGCAAACAGG